UUAGGAGUGAAAAACGGUGGAA
rnacentral:miRNA from 1 species